rnacentral:lncRNA from 1 species
CCCAAUAGAAGCACACCAUUUAGUGCAGAAAAGUCCUUAGAUAACCAUUUUUCUCAGUCUAGUCUAUCAAAGUUGAAGCCACGAGCAUAUGUAGUUUGAGGUGAGAUACAUGUCAAGUAACAGAGGUGCAGUAAUUUUAGAGCAAAGAAGAACUAAAUACAGAAAUUAACUAUUAUUAAAGGAUCCAGAUACAUUGUUGGAAUUUCUACGAAGUUGGUGUUUUGUCCUAGCAACAUAAUGCUAAUGACUCUCUGGAAUUAAGCAUGACUAGAGUCAUGUGGUUGUGAAGUGUGUUCGUGAGACUCCUCCUCAGCCACCUGCACCUUGCUGCAAAUGGCUCUCCCUGCUUCUUCUACCAUUCUGACCAAGUUGGUCAUUAUCUUGGCUUUGAUUUGCCCUCUUCUUGGAGGAACUCUAACCAUCUUAGCAGCUGGAGAAUCAACUUUUUCAUUGGUUUUUGGCAUUGCUUCAAGGGAAUAAGUUUUGAGGAUGAGUAGUAGAACAGAAGCAGUAGAUAGUUUAUGCCAGACACAAAAGAAAAGGAAACAAGAUUCA